AGGUGUCUCCAUUCAGCUGGUUUGGAGAUUUGAACCAACAGCCUCCUAAUAACUAAAUGUUAUAACACAUGUCUCACUGGCUGUUGAAGAGUGAUUCACUUGACAAUCAUGAACCAAUAAGGAGAAACCCAACCCCUCAUUAGAUCUCUGAUACCCAUAUUAGGCGUUAACAGUGCUUGAGCAGAAGAGGCCCCACUUUAAUCCUAUGGCGUUACAAAUGGUAUUAUUGAAGUGUGUGCACAGUUGCAUCAAUAUUCAUCUCUCCGAAGACUAUCGGUUUCAAAGUUGAAUAAUGACAUGUAACAAUAGCUUUUGCGAAAAUAUGCAAAUACCUUCUGUUUCCCUUUCGGAUUAUGUUAAUUCAUAUCCAGUAACCUGGUAUCUGCAGUGUGCAUAAUAUACCAAACUCUGUCCUACAAUAUGUCCUGUGGGCAUGAUAUGGGAGGAGGCGUUAUGGAUGUGAAUGCAAAUACAACGGCUGCUGUAAAAACAAAGUAGGGAUUAUGAUGGGAAGAAAAUAAACCUCGCCUGGACACACAAGAAUAAAAGAAGGGUCCUUUUACUGAGAAGAAUCUGCACAAAGGCCCUGUUUAAACACCGGUUGGCAAGCUGAUUUUAAGGUCAGGAUUGAGAAAAUAUCUCAUAUUGGGAUGUUCUAUUCAGCGCUUGAAAGGUUGUACAACAUCAUACCCUACAUCUGGUUUUCAGACAGAUUAAGUAUAAAAUACAAACUGAUCCCUGAUCUUUUCAGAAAAAUCAAUUUCCUAUCUGCAGUGUGAACUAGGCCAGGGAGAGAAAAAAAAGUCAUGACUAAGGGAUAUCACAGCAAGGGCCAUUUCAGUUCGCUACAGUAAAACUUAAUCAAACAAAUAUAGCUGUACUAUAAACCAGUGGGAUGUUUAUUUGUAUUGAGAUGAAAAGCCAUUUCCCAUCCAGAUCCAGUCAAUAUUACAUUCACUGUGUUGUCUUUCCACGCCUGGCCAAAGGGAAAUGCAGGGAGGCAUUUUGGACAAGAGUUCAGGAGAAAGCGCUUGAUGUAUUUCACACCAGCGUGAAGUAAAACUCAAAUCUUUGUAGAAGUUUGUAAAAAAAAAAAAAAAAAAAAAGGCAUGUGUGCAAGCUGAUGUAAUGUACAUGAUAAUUCAAUGAGCAGCAAUGAAACAGAAACGUUAAGCCUCGAGCUGCCAAUGCACAAAGAAAUUCCAUUCUUGUACACAGCUCCAUUUUCGCAUUUAAACCUGCUCUUUCAUGCCGCCUCCAUAAUGUGGAAAGAUUGAAUACAAGACUAGAAAAAGAGAGCGGCGUGCUGAACAGGCCCACUGGACCCAGCGAUUACCAGGUUCUGAACAGCAACCACAGCGCCUGGAGUCCCUCCUCUGAUCCGAGCGCCGUACACGCGGGACCAGCCGCUCGCUAAUAGAGACAUUUACACCUUAGUAAAAGUUGGCAGGUGUUACCCCGCCGUUGUCGAGAGCAGACGCAUGCCGGGCAUCAUUAGGCCCCGUGCCAAGCCUGCUUUGGCUGCCAAAGUCAUGAGUGUUUGUGUGUGUGUGUGUGUUUUUGUGUGCAUGUGCAUGUGUGUUUCAGCAGAGCAGCGGAGGAAAGUGUCCUCUGCUGUAGUGGCAUGCGAAGAAAGGCUCCUUACUGCAAUGGAGAAUGGUGUUACAUUACUGCUCAUCAUGCCACAUGUGUCUGUUCUGGAUUGUUGGUCUGUAAGUGGAGCGGGAGGAGCAAGGGAUUAAGAGAGACUCUGGAAGACUACAGAUGUACAGAGUCUUGGCAAAAGACUUGGAGGACUUUUCAACACAUGGUGUGAAGCAGUAUUAGAGUUUCUGGAGGGUGGUUGGAAUAAUAUCACAAGUUUGAGAUUCAAGGACCCUGUUGAACCCAGCAACAAAACACAGCGCAGUGAACCCUCUAAGCUUCAAUAAAUUGAAUUCCAAGAA